GCCUCAACCAGGCCAAGGAGCAGUGGUACGGCCCUCGAUUGCCCACAGGGUUCUCCGUCGCAGUGCACGUGCGCGCCGGCCUACCGCCGGGCCAUCAGGCGCGCCUGCUUCGCCGCUGCCGCCGUUGUCCUCCGCGAGGUCCGCUCCCCUCUCCUCUGCACCUCAUCCUCCUAUUCCAAUGUAGAGCCCUGGUUUCUCCGUGCUGCCUGUGCUGCUCAGAUUCAUCGACGCGCCCUCGCCGAGUGUUCCAGCGCGGGGAUUUUAUUUUGUUUUUCUUUUGUUUUGGCUUGGAUGGCGAGGGUGAAGAAGAAAAUCAUUCUGAUUCCCAUUGAUUUGUAAAAAAAAUGAGAUCUCUAACCAGCUACUACUGACUCGUCAUCCAAUCUACCAACUGUUGGAUUCACUAGUUUAUUUCUUAAUUGUUUUAGUGGUGCUUGUCCGUGUUUUUCAUGGAGCCAGUGAUGUUAUUAAAAUAUUUGCUACUCUUGAUGGGGCAACGACCCCAUUUGAUGAUCACAACCACCAAGAUCUCUGAGGCCCUUCAAAUCAUCUUUAAUUUUUUUUGAUGAUUCUCUGUGCCUCAACAUGGAAAGUCCUCGGAUGCAGCAAUUCUAAAUGAUGGCAACUCAGCUGCUUCGUGCUUCCCUGUGCAACGUUUGUAGCUCCCCUUGUACUGACCUGCUUCUCCAUGUAUUGCUGUGAAAACAAUAUCACUGUUGCUUCAGAUUCGGUUCAGGAAACACGAGAAUGCAUAUGAUUUCAGUAACAUGCGUAGAGUUUUUUACAGCUUUGCUGUGACAACAAACCCAACAUCAUUUCAGUACCAUGUGUGGAGAAUAUAUAAAAAAGGCAAAGAAAAGCUAAAUCCGAAACUUACGUUUUGUACAGGUAGUAUAGUUUGAGGCCAAUUAAGAUUUCAGACCUUGGUGUGCUUCUUUUACAUAUAAGUCUGACGAAACAGAAGAAAUAUUGUUGCCAUGGCUAAUCAACAACAGGAUGCGUGUGAGACAACCAUACUGAUAAUCUAACUUAGUUUUUAUCAUGUGCUGAAACUUAAAAAUCACCUAAUGAGAACACCCAAGGUCAUAAUUCCAUCCUGGCAUCCUCCUUGUUUUUCGAAAAUAACUUUUGGAAAACACCUAAUCUUUCAUAUAUGUUCUUCUACUUAUUUGUUUUGAUUGAUUCCGUUCAUUGCCAAUUACUGAGUAUGAUUUGUGUUCCUCGUGGUAUAUCCUGAUUGGCGGCGUUCUUGCCGACAUAUAUGUUUUUUCCUGCAUUUGUGAUCUGAUUUUGGCGACCAUGUUACUUCGAAUCUAACACAGAUUACUUCUAUUAGACCCUUGGAUUCUCUGUAUGUGCACUGUUCUUUUCCUAUUAUGUACAAUAUCUAUUUGAUUACUGAACAAACCAUUGCUUGGAUCUGGACAUAUGUCAGAUUGAAUUGGCUCACAAACAAUUUUGUGAAAGGAGAAUAAGCAGCUUCGACCUAGUCUCAGAUCAGUCUAGGUGCCCUCUGUUCUCCAAUGCCCUUGUUACUCCUAGCCCAACUGCACAUUUUGAAUUCGCAGAUUUCAGCCUUCAGCCAUGAAAAGCCUAACUGGGCUCACAUGCAUGGGAAUGUACUCUGUUUUGGAGCAACUUAAAAAGGAUGCCUUCUAAAAUCGUUAGUGCCCUUCUAAAGAAUGCUUAUUCCACUCUAAACCGAAUAAAAAAAUCUGACGGGACUGUCCAUAUAUCAUGCACUGAAUCUGACCUGUAACAUGGUCUUAUUGGCCUGUAACAUGGUCAUCUAUUAUUAACCUGGAUUAAUCUCGUCUGCCUUGAUUUAACAAUGAUAUGCGUGUUUGUCUGUCAUCAAGCAUUUAGAAUGGAACUAGUGAGGUAUUAUUUGGAAAUCUAGGAUAAAUGCCAAGGACCUAGUUGUUAUUUUGGCUCUGAAUCGAAUGGUUGAUGUUGCGUUAGGCAAAACACCAUACCAACUGGAAAAACUGCUUCGUGUUUUAGCUGAUUCUCGGCAAGUUCGGUCUCUGAAUUGCUAAGUGGUAGUAUGGUGACUGAUAUUUUUGCCUGCUCUUAGUUUCUCUCAAGUCAAUUCUAGUCCAGUUAGGCUUUUUUUUACUCUUGAUAGGUACUACUGAUUUGGACUGGUGUUUACGUGAAAUUAUAUGCUGGUUUCGUCAGCUGAGUGGAAAUGCUUCUGUUUCUUUUUUAUGCAGGUGGUACCUCAGAAACAAGACUGAGGGAUUGUGUGUUAAGGAAGUACGGUGAUCUGAACUUUGUUCUCCCAGGUAGAUGCAUGCUUUCAAUUCUGUUGGAUCCAUUCCUUCCUUUUGAUUUACUUCACUUGCAGUAGAAUUCUUCCACUUUUCUCUUGUAAUUUUCUGAAUGAAUUUGCAGUCAUUCUUGCCUAGUCCACUCAUAUCACACUUCUUCCUAAUUCAGUACAGUUCCACUUGCGCACCGUGUCUAAUUAUGCUAUUUGCUACUAUGAUUUGAAUUUAGGAGCAAGAUGAAAUCGUUUUCUGACAAUAGUAGGUAGGAUUUACUGACAGUUUCCAAUCCUCUAUUUCUUCAGUUCGACACACUCAAGACAGAACUUGAACCUUCCCAAGCGUCGACAGUGGUACCCUUCUGAUGAUAGACUGCAUUUGCAUCUGAAGAGGAUCGGAUGGCCACGUUCUUCUCCACUUCAAACGAUCAGAGGGGCCUUGCCGCAUCAACCUAAAAAUUUCUUUCUCUAAUUUCUGAAGCAUAGCAUCAACCUAAAAAUGCAGCAAAGCAGAAUGUAAACAUUAGCCCUUUAGUAUAACAUGAUUAGAGCUUCGAAACACAUGGGUUUUGUUUUGGCAUGCUUGUUUACUUUUUCUUGUUAUCUUUAGUUAUCUACUACUCAAUUAUGCAUAGCAACACAAGAGGUUGUUUCAAAGCUAGGUCAGAACUUAGAACAGUUCCUGUCAUAAUUCAAAUGAUACCUCUGUGCCAUUCGGUACGAGGCCAG
rnacentral:lncRNA from 1 species